GACGAACGCUGGCGGCGUGCUUAACACAUGCAAGUCGAACGGAAAGGCCCUGCUUUUGUGGGGUGCUCGAGUGGCGAACGGGUGAGUAACACGUGAGUAACCUGCCCUUGACUUUGGGAUAACUUCAGGAAACUGGGGCUAAUACCGGAUAGGAGCUCCUGCUGCAUGGUGGGGGUUGGAAAGUUUCGGCGGUUGGGGAUGGACUCGCGGCUUAUCAGCUUGUUGGUGGGGUAGUGGCUUACCAAGGCUUUGACGGGUAGCCGGCCUGAGAGGGUGACCGGCCACAUUGGGACUGGGAUACGGCCCAGACUCCUACGGGAGGCAGCAGUGGGGAAUAGUGCACAAUGGGCGGAGGCCUGAUGCAGCAACGCCGCGUGCGGGAUGACGGCCUUCGGGUUGUAAACCGCUUUCGCCUGUGACGAGGCGUGAGUGACGGUAAUGGGUAAAGAAGCACCGGCUAACUACGUG
rnacentral:rRNA from 1 species